GUGUGUGUGUGUGUGUGUGUGUGUGACAGGUUUUUAAACAAUGGUUUCGUUAGAAUGUAUCACUGUGGUACACUUUUGGUGGAGGAACCAAACUCAUUAUUAAAACCGGUCCCACAGUGAAGCCCUCCGUGUCUCUGCUCCCUCCGUCCCCUCUGCAGCUGUCCGAGGGAUCGGCCUCGCUGCUCUGCCUGCUGUCUGGUUACUCCCCACAGGGGGCGCUGGUGAGCUGGACAGUGGACGGAUCAGAGGUGAAGGAUGGGGUUCUGACCAGCACAGAAGAACAGAAGAACGGGUUUUACAGUCGAAGCAGCACCCUGACCCUUAGCAAAGACCUCUGGGAAAAAGGGGAGGAGUUUAUCUGUAAGGUCUCCCAUGAUGGUGUCAAUCAUCCAGUCAUGUUCAGAAAGUGUCUUUGUGAACGCUAGACAAAGUUUAACACGAUACUUAUGAUCAUCUGCAAUAGAGUUUCAGUUCUACACAAUGCUGAGAUUUCUAUCUUUACUCUCUUUACUGUCCUGUUGCUCUUCCUGUAGUUUCUGCUGAAAUAAAGCCGAGUUUUGGA